CAGAAGGAUAGCAGAUAUUCUUCUUUUACAGGAAGGACUGGCUGUGUGGCUUUUGCUGUAAUUAUUUUGUAAUUUGGCUGCUCUUAAGCUGGCCUCCCUUUCCCAGGGUUGGCUAAAUAUUCCCCAUGCAGAAGGAAGGAAGAAAGCCAAAGAUGAAUCUGUGYCAGCCCAGCUUUGGAGAGAGGGUAAUUGUUGAUGGGGCUGGCCCAGCUGUGUUGGUAGCAGCAUUUCAAUGGUGCUUCCUAACUGAGGUGGACUCCGAGAACCUUCUGUCAUCCUUGUGCAAAUCCAAAGUAUUUUUUAGGAUGAUACUUCAGACUUUGAAGGUAUCUGUAUCGGGAUAG
rnacentral:lncRNA from 1 species